rnacentral:rRNA from 1 species
GGUGGGGAUUAGUGGCGAACGGGUGAGUAACACGUGGGCAAUCUGCCCUGCACUCUGGGACAAGCCCUGGAAACGGGGUCUAAUACCGGAUACAACCACUGACCGCAUGGUCGGGUGGUGGAAAGCUCCGGCGGUGCAGGAUGAGCCCGCGGCCUAUCAGCUUGUUGGUGAGGUAGUGGCUCACCAAGGCGACGACGGGUAGCCGGCCUGAGAGGGCGACCGGCCACACUGGGACUGAGACACGGCCCAGACUCCUACGGGAGGCAGCAGUGGGGAAUAUUGCACAAUGGGCGAAAGCCUGAUGCAGCGACGCCGCGUGAGGGAUGACGGCCUUCGGGUUGUAAACCUCUUUCAGCAGGGAAGAAGCGAAAGUGACGGUACCUGCAGAAGAAGCGCCGGCUAACUACGUGCCAGCAGCCGCGGUAAUACGUAGGGCGCAAGCGUUGUCCGGAAUUAUUGGGCGUAAAGAGCUCGUAGGCGGCUUGUCACGUCGGUUGUGAAAGCCCGGGGCUUAACCCCGGGUCUGCAGUCGAUACGGGCAGGCUAGAGUUCGGUAGGGGAGAUCGGAAUUCCUGGUGUAGCGGUGAAAUGCGCAGAUAUCA